GACGAACCGUGCAAACGUUAUUCGGAAUCACUGGGCUUAAAGGGCGCGUAGGCGGGUCAGAUAGUCUGCGGUGAAAUCCUCCAGCUUAACUGGAGAACUGCCGUGGAUACUGCUGACCUCGAGGAGGGUAGGGGCAUCUGGAACAGCCGGUGGAGCGGUGAAAUGCGUUGAUAUCGGCUGGAACUCCGGUGGCGAAGGCGGCAUCCUGGACCGGUAUUGACGCUGAGGCGCGAAAGCUAGGGGAGCAAACGGG
rnacentral:rRNA from 1 species